rnacentral:rRNA from 2 species
AGAGUUUGAUCAUGGCUCAGAUUGAACGCUGGCGGCAGGCCUAACACAUGCAAGUCGAACGGUAACAGGAAGCAGCUUGCUGCUUUGCUGACGAGUGGCGGACGGGUGAGUAAUGUCUGGGAAACUGCCUGAUGGAGGGGGAUAACUACUGGAAACGGUGGCUAAUACCGCAUAACGUCGCAAGACCAAAGAGGGGGACCUUCGGGCCUCUUGCCAUCAGAUGUGCCCAGAUGGGAUUAGCUUGUUGGUGAGGUAACGGCUCACCAAGGCGACGAUCCCUAGCUGGUCUGAGAGGAUGACCAGCCACACUGGAACUGAGACACGGUCCAGACUCCUACGGGAGGCAGCAGUGGGGAAUAUUGCACAAUGGGCGCAAGCCUGAUGCAGCCAUGCCGCGUGUAUGAAGAAGGCCUUCGGGUUGUAAAGUACUUUCAGCGGGGAGGAAGGUGUUGUGGUUAAUAACCACAGCAAUUGACGUUACCCGCAGAAGAAGCACCGGCUAACUCCGUGCCAGCAGCCGCGGUAAUACGGAGGGUGCAAGCGUUAAUCGGAAUUACUGGGCGUAAAGCGCACGCAGGCGGUCUGUCAAGUCGGAUGUGAAAUCCCCGGGCUCAACCUGGGAACUGCAUUCGAAACUGGCAGGCUUGAGUCUUGUAGAGGGGGGUAGAAUUCCAGGUGUAGCGGUGAAAUGCGUAGAGAUCUGGAGGAAUACCGGUGGCGAAGGCGGCCCCCUGGACAAAGACUGACGCUCAGGUGCGAAAGCGUGGGGAGCAAACAGGAUUAGAUACCCUGGUAGUCCACGCCGUAAACGAUGUCUACUUGGAGGUUGUGCCCUUGAGGCGUGGCUUCCGGAGCUAACGCGUUAAGUAGACCGCCUGGGGAGUACGGCCGCAAGGUUAAAACUCAAAUGAAUUGACGGGGGCCCGCACAAGCGGUGGAGCAUGUGGUUUAAUUCGAUGCAACGCGAAGAACCUUACCUGGUCUUGACAUCCACAGAAGAAUCCAGAGAUGGAUUUGUGCCUUCGGGAACUGUGAGACAGGUGCUGCAUGGCUGUCGUCAGCUCGUGUUGUGAAAUGUUGGGUUAAGUCCCGCAACGAGCGCAACCCUUAUCCUUUGUUGCCAGCGGUUAGGCCGGGAACUCAAAGGAGACUGCCAGUGAUAAACUGGAGGAAGGUGGGGAUGACGUCAAGUCAUCAUGGCCCUUACGACCAGGGCUACACACGUGCUACAAUGGCGCAUACAAAGAGAAGCGACCUCGCGAGAGCAAGCGGACCUCAUAAAGUGCGUCGUAGUCCGGAUUGGAGUCUGCAACUCGACUCCAUGAAGUCGGAAUCGCUAGUAAUCGUGGAUCAGAAUGCCACGGUGAAUACGUUCCCGGGCCUUGUACACACCGCCCGUCACACCAUGGGAGUGGGUUGCAAAAGAAGUAGGUAGCUUAACCUUCGGGAGGGCGCUUACCACUUUGUGAUUCAUGACUGGGGUGAAGUCGUAACAAGGUAACCGUAGGGGAACCUGCGGUUG